ACAGCAUCUAAAGGAGCUAGGAAUGCAUGGGAUGCUUAUGGAAUGUGCGAGAACACGGGUGAGUCUCACAAAAAGAAUGUACACGGAGUACAUACUGUCGGAUUCCAUUUCUAUCAACUCCUGAAGCCUGCAGAGCUAACACCUACUGCUGGAGGGCAAGGCAGUAGCUGCUUGUUGGGGUAGGAGAUGAGGAGAACACCAAGUGGGCUUCUGGAAUGCUGGACACCCGUGGUCAGUGCACCUUUUUUUUUUCCAAAUUGAGACAGGGUCUCACUCUGUUGUCCAGGCUAGAGUGCAGUGGUGUGAUCAUAGCUCACUACAGCCUUGACCUCCUGGGCUCAAGUAAUCCUCCCACCUCAGCCUCCCAAGUGGCUGCGACUACAAGUACAUGCCACCACACCUGGCUAAUUUUGUUUAUUUUUUGUAGAGACAAAGUCUCACUGUGUUCCCAGGCUGAUCCCCAACUCCUGAGCUCAAGCCAGCCACCAGCCUUGGCCUCCCAAAGUGCUGGGAUUACAGGCGUGAGCCACCACGCCGGGCCCAGAUGAACAGGUAAGAGACACAAGCAGCUCUGGGAACUGCAAGGUGAUUAGAAGAUGGGGGCAAGACUGAGCACAAAGGCGGGAGAGCACAGGAUGGAGCAGGUUAGGAAGCUGGUACAGGAAUCAGGACAGCGAUGCCAAGGUAAGGAAGGCAUCGGGGGUACAGGAAAAAGCAGAACUAAAUUCAGCAAAAUGCUCCCAGUUGACCAGAUCCUAUGGAAAAACCCUCAGCUGAACGCCUGGGGCACCCACUUACAAAGGC
rnacentral:lncRNA from 1 species